rnacentral:sRNA from 1 species
CAUGCGGGAAGGAUGAGAAGCUUCGACUAAGGUUCGAUUCGAGCGGAGCGAGAAAACGUUGCCGCAGGCAACGACCCGAAGGGCGAGGCGCAACGCGCCGAGUAAUCCUUCCCCCACCACCA